UCCGAGUUGACCCCGGCAGUCUCCUACGAGUCCCCGGCAUUACCCGCUGGCAACAUAGGACGAGGGUUGCGCUCGUUGCGGGACUUAACCCAACAUCUCACGACACGGGCUGACGACAGCCAUGCAGCACCUGUGCUAGCCCCUUACGGACACGGGCUUUCACCCGCUUUAACUAGCAUGUCAAGCCUAGGUAAGGUUCUUCGCGUUGCAUCGAAUUAAGCCACAUGCUCCGCCGCUUGUGCGGGUCCCCGUCAAUUCCUUUGAGUUUUAGCCUUGCGGCCGUACUCCCCAGGCGGGGUGCUUAAUGCGUUAGCUUCGGCACAGAAAGGGUUGAUGCUCCCCACACCUAGCACCCGUCGUUUACGGCUGGGACUAC
rnacentral:misc_RNA from 1 species